rnacentral:rRNA from 1 species
GACGAACGCUGGCGGCGUGCUUAACACAUGCAAGUCGAACGGAAAGGCCCUGCUUUUGUGGGGUGCUCGAGUGGCGAACGGGUGAGUAACACGUGAGUAACCUGCCCUUGACUUUGGGAUAACUUCAGGAAACUGGGGCUAAUACCGGAUAGGAGCUCCUGCUGCAUGGUGGGGGUUGGAAAGUUUCGGCGGUUGGGGAUGGACUCGCGGCUUAUCAGCUUGUUGGUGGGGUAGUGGCUUACCAAGGCUUUGACGGGUAGCCGGCCUGAGAGGGUGACCGGCCACAAUGGGACUGAGAUACGGCCCAGACUCCUACGGGAGGCAGCAGUGGGGAAUAUUGCACAAUGGGCGGAAGCCUGAUGCAGCAACGCCGCGUGCGGGAUGACGGCCUUCGGGUUGUAAACCGCUUUCGCUCAUGACGAAGCUUUGUGUGACGGUAGUGGGUAAAGAAGCACCGGCUAACUACGUG